GAAAGAAAAUAGAAGUUCCUUGUUAAAAAUAAACUCUUUAACUGUUGCUCCUUUUUAACAAGGAACUUCUAUUUUCUUUCACUGCCAUUUUCAAGUAUUUUGAACAUACACAUCCACUUAUGCACAACCUAGUUGCUGAAAGUGCAUGGCCAAUUGCCGCAUUGUCAAUGCAGUAAAUUUUUGUUCCAUUUCACAUCAAUGAGAAAACUUUGAGAUCAACUUGUCAACAUGAAUUAUAAUAUCAUCGAUGCAAGGGCGAACUGCUGCCUGUGGCUGAAGCAUCCAGGUCACAAACUUAUGUAGAGAUUCUGGAUAUGGAGGAUUAGGCCCAGCUGGCCACUUUAUUUGUGC
rnacentral:misc_RNA from 1 species